UUUCACCCCGCUGAGUGCAGACAUGGAGCCGCUAUAACUCUCACACACCGCCGGGACCACAGCGCCGGAUAUGCGCCUACCUGUUACCUAGUCUGCAGCUUCAGCGCAACAGGUCCCUGAUUUGGUCGGCGUUGGCUCACUUGCACUAGACACCUGAUAUCACCCUCUCCCGGCGUGGAUCAUCACGUCUCGGAUCCCUGAGACACCCCGAACUAUAAAUAUGGAUUCGAAUCGAGAGGCUCGCCUCCAGAGUCCGUUUUUAAUCCCCUCGGCUAUUUUUGGACUCCCCGCUGGCGCGAAGGUGGCCGCACGUCUGCCUCGAUUCUAGCCGUUCUGUUGAUCCGCCUGCACCGGUCGCGAGACGUGUCCCAAACCAAGACGUCAAGGUGCUAAAUGUUGACAAUCAUCACCGGGAGACCACGACAGGGAACGCGAAGGAGCCAAGCGUGCUUCCACAAUCAAGACAUAAACGAAGUAAAGCCAUGAGAAGAUCAGACGUGUGCUAGAUCUUCACCUUGACAUGCACCACGCUUCAUUUUAAAGCUUUUUAAACUUUGAA